CACGGUUGAAAUACGCGGCGACGGACGC
rnacentral:piRNA from 1 species